rnacentral:lncRNA from 1 species
AGUACAACCAGAAGAAGAACCGACAGGUCGGCCUCUCCUCUAAUCCUCCUUCGCUCUCCAUCUCGCUACUAUCUAGAUCUACUCUAGUUUAGAGAAGAUAGGAGAGCUCUCAUCUCUAAACCCUAGCUUUUGCUCUGUCUAUGAAUAAUGAAUAAUGAUCAAGGGGUGCCUCCUCUAGGGGCCAGGGGGUCUGGUUUUAUAGUCCCCUCAAGUGAACCUGGGCCGUCGGAUCAAACCGACAUUGAUUGAACGGUUAUUCUUGAUCCUUUAGGUCGGUGGAGCAUAAUCCGCGAGAUUGAGCGUGAUUGGCCAAAAAAGGUGGGCGGGCGCCCUAAGGACUUGGGCGGGCGCCCUGUCCCUGACUCCGUUCGGUCUCCGCUUCCUUCCCGUGGCUUCUGGAGUCUUCUAGAUGUAAGAUAAUUGCGCGGCACGUUGAUAUCUCUAUGUAAUCCCGACGUGUAGGCCUUUCUUCCUUAUUUCCUGAUAACCCCCUGCAGAAAUAGACAAACACCAAAACUCGUGGAAUUCUGUCAGAUAAAACCCUAAGUCUCGAUGUUGAUUUCAUUUGGAUCCUUUUCUUUGUUUAUUUGAUAGUUAAAUUUGAUACUUAAGGACCGUCAACAAACUCCCCCAAGCUUACCUCUUGCUCGUCCCUGAGCAAGGAUAGACUCAGCUAUGGAUCAUAAGUUGUUGCAAUAUCUUUAAAAAUUGACGGUACACAUGAUUUUAAAUGAGGUCUCAUCUCUGAGUUAGAGUAAACUGUCAAGACUUAAAACUUACUUACUUUACCUUUCACCAUGGGACUUGUAACCGUCACUUCUAUCUUGAGUGGUUAAAAGAUAGAACAGUCCAGUCAAGUGCCAUGUCGCUUAUUCUUGAUCAGCUAUAGCUCUGGAGUUUUUGCAGAUUUUCAAAUAAAACUCAGAGAUUCCUUUGUAUGACUCUCAUAUCUCUCUUUUGUGGUAUUUCUGGAUCCUUACCAAGGCAGUGAUGGUAUAUGCCUUCUCUCAAAAUAUGUGGUAUUUGUGCUAUAAGGGAUAGUGACAUUGUCUUCUCUCUCACCCUACUCUAAUAAGGCUUUAAUAUCUGGAGCUCAUAGGUGGGAGAUAAAAUAUACAUACUUACAAGACAUUUAUUGUAUAGUCAAACCAUGGAUCCAAAGAAACAAAUCAAUAAGCCAAAUCAAGAUGUGCAUGUGUGGCGAAUGAAUAGUGUAUGGUGAUGAUGGUGAUAACAAUGGUGAAAGUCUAAUUCUACUUUUGCUCUUUUGAGGGGAUACAUACCUUCCUUGCUUUUUGAAACUUUAUGAGGAGAAUGAGAUGCUCUUCUUUUUCUUUUCUCUCAGAUGGGUAUCCUGUACCCCUAAUUCUACUGUCGGACACUUGUCCAUUUUUACCUCUCGUCUCACUCUUUUUUUUUUUGAGGUUCCGGGCACUUGCCCCUUUUUAUUUCCUCGUUUAUUUUUUGUUUCUUUUUUUUCUUCUUUUUUUCAGAGCACUCAUCUCUUGAGAUAAUAUAGCAAGUGGUAGUAGCAAGAUAACUUGAGCAUUUAUUUCACAAGGGAAAAACACAGAUGUUUUUGGCUAUUCUCUCCCGAAUUAGGAGUAGAAUAUUUUUAGGUGAUUCUGGAGAUGGAAAUGGAUGGAUAUAUGUGGAUGGUACUUCCGGAGUAGAAGUAGCAUAUAUAUGAGUGAACGUGCAAGUGAAUCUUAAUUUAACCACAUGACAAGCUCCUAAGGGUCUACACAGCUUGACCACACUCAAUGCUCAUAAGCAGUAAAUAAUAAAUGUGUGGCUCAAAGUCUAGCAAGCAUGUAUAUAUGGUUGUGGUAGGAAUUUAAACUUUCAUCAUACAGGAACUCAUCAUGCAACAUUUUAAAGAUUUUUCAAAGAUAAAAUUCUCCAGAAUUCUAGCAUCUCUAGGAAUAGAUAAACAGCAGCUCAACCUUCCCAUAUCAUAUCCGUUAACAACUUAGAUUUCAGAUCAAGUUUUCAUCCCACAAGUUUAGAUCUAGAGCAAGCUUUAAAUUAUAACAGUUAUGUGUAAACUUGAGAGAGAACUUCAAAUUUGCAAAUUAGGCAGAGCAACUAUUCAUCAUAUCCAUGCUAGAGUUUUAUUAUUAAGAUUCAGAUUAGCAUAGCCACUUUAUUUAUUUAUUAAACACACUAAGCAAAAGAUAUAUAUAUAUAUAUAAGCACAAAAUCUUUAUUUGGUUUUUCAUAGUUUAUGUAUUUUAAUAUUCUAAUAUAAUAUAAGUAUAAAGAUAGGUAGAAAUACUUAGCGAGAUAAAUGGGGGUGCUCUCCCCCAAGCUGAAUUUUGACGUAAUUUCUCUUGAUGUAGCUAGCAGGUGGCAGAGGUGUAUUUGAAAGUCAGCAGCAUUCUGACAGCGAUUAGAAUGUCCUCCGUCUGCUAGUCUUCUUGAUUCUUAAAUUCUGUGGAGCUCAAAUAGACAACAAAGCUUGUGGAACUAAUUAAGUGUUAGCAUAAAUAUCUAGCCUUCAUCACGUUGAGCUUCCUCAAUAAAUAUUACUCCCUGUUUUUAUAUUUUUAUUUUAUAAAGUAGAAAAGAAAUAUUUAUUUUAUUUUUAUGCCACCACAGUGAAGGUACUUAUGGGUUUUAUGCCACUCGUAUACUCACAUGGGGCUUAGUAUUUUUUAACAUUUUUAUUUUCUUUUCAAGAUAGCAUGAUUAACUAAUAAUCUAUUUAAGGAAAGUAAAUAAUUAAAUGGAAAAGGGAAUGCAGAAAGGAUAAAUAUGGAUAACUACCAAUCUUACCUUUCGGCGAGGGUUCAAUGUUUUAAGUCUUCUUGUCAAGACUUCUCAUCGUGUUCAUUCUCCAGGUGCGUCAUUUGAUUCAGGUGCGGACCUUGACGUCUGCACCUUUUAAUACGGUGUCACCCAUGUUCUUCGUUUGCCCAGCAGUUCGAUGUGCGGUGUUAGCAGUAUCUUGCUCAGUGUGUUUGUGCUCGUAGUGUACCUGCUCAUAGAGACAAGGCAGAGAUCAAGUGCAUGCGCCCUGUUGGUGGAAAACACCAACAGAACCAAAAGUGUAUUUAUUCUUCUCUAACCUUAAGCAUAGUGAGCAAGACAAGUUGAUGGAUGAUAAGUUCAUGAGUGUAGCACUUAUAACAUUUGUCAGAUCAGAUCGCUCAACCUUAUGGAAAGAUAAUCUAUCUAUGUAUAUGUCUUUUUCUUUAUAUCUCUCAAUGAUUGAAUGUGUAACAUUUUAGCUCAUAUGAUUAGAAGUGUGGGAUCAUGGAGGUAGUACUAAGAACAAGGAUUAAAGGACUAAACAUGUUGAAUCAGUUGGGUUGGUUAAUCUAGAGUUGUAAAUCAUACACGUUUGUCUCUUUUAUUUAUAUGAACGCCAGAACCAAGGAGAAGCUUAUAAAAGUGAUAGUCAAGUACCUUAAGAUAUUACCUUGCUCGAAGAGUGAUGGUACAGUAUCAUCUUGUGGAAGCUUUCCUUUCUUAGCGGUUGUGCGUCGUGUUUGUGGCACCCUCCAUGGAUCAUCUCUCUAUGAUGAAUGAGCUAUGUCCUUCUUGUGCAAAUUGUUAAACUUCAUGUGUCACUCUCUUCGUCUCUGAUGUGAGUUUAUCUCAGGACUUCCCAAAUCGAAAUUGAAAGUUUUUCUGCAGGGGUUAGUCCGACAAAAUAUACCAAUAUCUACUCAAGCAGUUUUUUUAGUUCAAUAACCAAACUAGACUCCAUGUCUAAUCAGAUUAAGGAAGGCUAUUUAACCUAAGCACCAUGCUUAAUUUAAAUGCCAAUGGAAGUAUGGCGAGUACUUCCAAACCAACACUUGCUAGUAAAUAGACAAAGGUAGCAUGACAGCGUUUAUAGAGAUCUACUCAAGUGGAGAUGAAGUAGUGUGAU